UAAAGCAGAACACUGCCCGUGCCCCAACCCCAUAUCCUUUAUUUUUGGGGUUUCUACAUGAGAAUUAUCUGCCUAGGCUGGAUAAAAUCUUCAAAAGGCUCUGCGGGGCCCGGUGGGGCCCGGGCUGUCCCGCUGCCAGAAGGGGCAGCGCCGGGCUCGGCCCCAGCGCCCAUCCCGGAGCAGCUCCUCCCGCCCGCGGCCAGCCCGCUCCCAUCCCAGCGCCAAUCCCGCCCCGGCACCCAGCGGGCCCGAAGGCCCGGUUCGGCCCGGGGCUCUGAGCGAUGGGUCCGGCCCCUUCCGGGCAGGGCGGGGCUCCGUGAGGCGGGGCCGAGGUCAUUUAAUCCCCGGAAAUCGCCUCAGCCGCCAUUUGCUCACUUAGCGCAGGGCGAGGGGCCGCGGUCCUUGUGCGUGCUCCGCCGAGCACAGGAGAUGGAGUCGGAAAGAGCGACGAGAAUCAUCAAGUCAAACAGUGAAUAAGUGAUUGAUCCAUGUGGGGAUCGAAUUCAGAAUCUUGGCCUUGUCAGCACCCUGCUCCAAGCACCUGAGUCAAUCUCAGGCUCAUGGGGAAGGUCCUGCCCGGGAUGGCAAUGGCUGCUGCCAGCAAGGGAAAUCCUAUGCAAACGUAGCUCCUUCUUUCAGGCUAGUGCUGCUUUACACACCAGCUCCUAGACUGGCUCUAGAGCAGAACUGACUGGUACCUGACAUGACAGCACAAAACUCUUCCAGUAAUGCUAGUUUCCCGCCCUUUCCAGGAUUUACCCAACCGCUGUAAAUGGUACUCAUUCCAUGUCCAUUUCCAGGGAGAAAUGAGCAGGAAAAGUCCU